rnacentral:rRNA from 1 species
GUCGAGAAUCUUUCACAAUGGGGGCAACCCUGAUGGAGCGACGCCGCGUGGAGGAUAAGGUCUUCGGAUUGUAAACUCCUGUCAUGCGUGAACAAGGUUGCUUGGUUAAUACCUGGGCAAAUUGAUGGUAACGCAAGAGGAAGAGACGGCUAACUCUGUGCCAGCAGCCGCGGUAAUACAGAGGUCUCAAGCGUUGUUCGGAAUCACUGGGCGUAAAGGGUGCGUAGGUGGCGUGGUAAGUCAGAUGUGAAAGCCCGGGGGUCAACCUCGGAACUGCAUCCGAUACUGCCAUGCUAGAGUACUGGAGAGGUGACUAGAAUUCUCGGUGUAGCAGUGAAAUGCGUAGAUAUCGAGAGGAAUACCAAAGGCGUAGGCAGGUCACUGGACAGUUACUGACACUGAGGCACGAAGGCCAGGGGAGCGAACGGGAUUAGAUACCCCGGUAGUCC